CGCCACCACCUCCACCACACCACCACCUCCACGGUCACAGCACCCUGCCGCUCAUUUUCAUAUUCGAUUUGUGCCGCGUGUGUUUAAACUGGUCGCGCGCCCCCAUCACUCAGAUCGCGGCGGCCAGUCCUCAACGCAGCCUGCACCCGCUCCCACGUGGUGCCCCAACACUCCUCCAACACCUCCUCCAACACUCCUCCAACGCGGCUCCCCGCCAGUAGAAUUCUUCGUCAGUACUCCAGCAGCUUCCUCCGACAGCGUCCUCUCCGCGGGGCUGGGACCAGUGGCCCACCACCACCACCUUCGCUGUUCUAGCGGGUCGAGGCCGCUGUAUCCGUCGCCACGACUCAGCCGGACCCAUUCUCCUUUUACAGUAUAUAUGUGACGAUGCUGUCAGCAAUGGAAACUGCUGUCAAGUGUGAAGUGGACCUCCCCCUCAACCUCAAGACUCAUGUGAGUACCCACUCUUGAACACCAG